rnacentral:rRNA from 1 species
AUUGAACGCUGGCGGCAUGCUUUACACAUGCAAGUCGAACGGUAACAGGCCGCAAGGUGCUGACGAGUGGCGAACGGGUGAGUAAUGCAUCGGAACGUGCCCAGUCGUGGGGGAUAACGCAGCGAAAGCUGCGCUAAUACCGCAUACGAUCUAUGGAUGAAAGCGGGGGACCGUAAGGCCUCGCGCGAUUGGAGCGGCCGAUGUCAGGUUAGGUAGUUGGUGGGGUAAAGGCUCACCAAGCCGACGAUCUGUAGCUGGUCUGAGAGGACGACCAGCCACACUGGGACUGAGACACGGCCCAGACGCCUACGGUAGGCAGCAGUGGGGAAUUUUGGACAAUGGGCGCAAGCCUGAUCCAGAAAUGCCGCGUGCAGGAAGAAGGCCUUCGGGUUGUAAACUGCUUUUGUACGGAACGAAACGGCUCUGGUUAAUACCUGGGGCUAAUGACGGUACCGUAAGAAUAAGCACCGGCUAACUACGUGCCAGCCGCCGCCGUAACAC